UGGGGAAGAAAGAAUAAAGUGAGUCCUGAUGCUUGCAACUUGACUGGUGUGUGCUGUGUUCAUCCCGACUUCCCUCGCCAGGUUUUGGGCCCAAUUGCUGUGCAGGCGUGGCAAGUGGAGGUGUCACUGAGACCUGGAAAGAGGGGUUUGAAGGACGGGGUCGCUUCUGGGCUAGCAAAUGGAGUGAAUUGGGGAUACGAGUAAUUAAGGUAAGAUGCUGAGUCACCAGUGGGGGUUCCGGAGAGGUGUGUUCGUCCUAUGGAAAUGUCUAUGGCUGAUGGAAAUGCUGCUUCUGAUGUAUCAAGUGAAGCCGGAGACAGUGUAUUGGAGUCUGGUAAAAAAUCCCCCAGUGCUGAUGCCUGUAGGGAUACAUACCCCUAUUUUCCUUCUAUUUGUGCUAGUAAUUGGACUAUGGGCCGUCCGUCAGCUUGUAUACCUAUGGAUAAAACUUUAAUGUUUCUAUUCCAUCUCAUCCUGACUUUUGAGGAGCCUAUUAAAGUCAAUUAUUCUUCUGGGAAAAAUUUUAGCAUUUCCUCCUUUCCCUGUUUAUACUGGGGCAGGAGGGGGUGCUUUAUUAAAAUUGUUCUGUUCAGAAUUGCAGCCUUAGCAGUUGCUGGCUUGAUGAAGAUAAUGUGUUAGUUAUGAAGAAUUCCUGCUGCCAUUCCAAUGCCAAUGGAAGCAUGUUCCCAGUUUCCUGUCCAGUUGCAUAGAACAAAGAGAGGUUUUGGAAUCACUGCCGCCAUUGUUACUGCCAUUGCUGUUUCUGCUGUUGCUGCUGCUACUGCAGGAAUUGCCCUUUCUCAAAAUACCCAGCAAGCUGAUGUGGUGAAAAGAGUCUCUAAUGCUUUGGACAUUCAAAAUCAGAUAAAUGGACAUGUACAUUCUGGACUGCCAACACUUAAUCAACAGAUGGUGUUGGUACAAGAACAAUUAGAUUUGUUAUGAACUCAACAACAUUCGACCUGCGCUCAGAUGUACAUAUCUAUGUGUGUGACCCUCGGGAGGGUUGUUGAUGACUCUCAUGAAGUUUGGAGGCUGAGUGGGUAUGUUUCAGGGUCCUUGGGUAUGAUAUUUGUGGAUUUUACUGUGCAGCUUUUUCAUGCCAUACAGGCCAUUGAUGAUGCUGGAGUUGUUCUAAUUUCAGAUAUUGGAUGGUGGGAUUGGGUGGCCCAGGUUGGAGGCUGGUUUCAAAAAUGGUCAGGAUCACUUGCUAUGGCAAUCCUAGGAUGUCUUGGAAUUGGGGUAUGCUUCUGGGCCCUCUGCCAACUUAAAAUGCAAUUCACCAUUCAUGCAGGUGUCACCCAACAAGCCCUGCUAGCUGUCUCAGCACACACUGAAUCCACUCAGAAGCUUGAUAAACAGUAACCAGAGACGGGGAACUUCCUAGGAUAGCAUGGGCGCCUAAGACAGGAAGUAUGGAGGGCACUUUCCUAUGACGGGUAAGUUCAUGCUACCGGGUCGACCUAAGACAGGUGCCGCUUAAAUAAAUAAAAAGGGAGAUGUUGGGAUCAGAAUGGCUCUGACCCCUCUAAGAUUGCCCCCACCUCCCCUGUUCUGAGUGCGCUGUUCUGCAGAUGUUUUGCUGUUUGGUAUAUCUCUUGGUUUGGCAGCUGUGGCUUCCUGGGGCAUGCUGACCGUUCCUUGACCCUGCGUGCUUGAUAAACAAUUUUGUUUGUUUCCUCCUGGAAGGGUAUAUAAGAUGGGGAAGAAAGAAUAAAGAAAGUCCUGAUGCUUGCAACUUGA